rnacentral:rRNA from 1 species
UACGUAGGGGGCAAGCGUUAUCCGGAUUUACUGGGUGUAAAGGGUGCGUAGGCGGCGAGUUAAGUCAGCGGUAAAAGCCCGGGGCUCAACCCCGGCCCGCCGUUGAAACUGGCUGGCUUGAGUUGGGGAAAGGCAGGCGGAAUGCGCGGUGUAGCGGUGAAAUGCAUAGAUAUCGCGCAGAACUCCGAUUGCGAAGGCAUCUCACGAAUCCGCGAUUGACGCUGAUGCACGAAAGCGUGGGUAUCAAACAGG